CCGGCUUUCUCCGUUUUGGUGUAGAUGGGCCGGGGACGGAGUCACAGCCGGGGCUGGGCGCAGAUACAGGGCUGGAGGCCAAUGCUGAGAUGACUGCCUCCAGAGCUGAGAUGAAUUCCCUGAAGAGAGUAGUGCUUCUCCUGGCAAGUAGGCUGGGGAGUCGGGCCAGACUGGCCACUGAGCAAAGAGAGCCCCCAUGCUGGACCCCUCCCAAGCCAUACCCAACAUGUGGGGAUCCUCACUGGAAGUUCGACUGUCCUGGGGAAACUGUGCCACCUCAGGUGUGUCCUCGCAGGGCUUCCUGCUGAGUACCAGCACUGAUUCUGAUCUGGGUUGGGCGUCAGUUGACUGACCUGCCCCACCCUAGAGGUCUCAGAAGCCCCCGGACCAUCAAUACUGAAUUUGGGAUAAACCUCAUGGUGGAAGUUAAAAGCAUCUCAUGCCUAAUAAGUAUGGGGGCAACCUCUUCCACCCUCCCCUCAUUCUCCAGACAACAUACUUUAGCUCGUUACUAUUCUGGGAAUUGAUGGAACAGUCUCUGGCCUUUCAAGAUCCUCUAUUUUCAUGCCAAUUAGGACACCAGGUUUAUCCACAUUCGUUCUUAGUCAUCCCGAAUUGCUGCACUCCUCUACUCUGAGGAAACAUCCUAACAGGGGCUGGGGUUGAGAGGAUUGGAGAGUUGGUGUUUGAUGGUACACAGUUUCAUUUUGGGAACAUCAAAGUUCUGGGGACUGAUAACAGUGAAACUUGCACAACAGUAUCAGUCUAAUACCUAUAGGUGAGUAUUAAAAUUUGUGCUGGGCAUAGUGAUGCAUGCCUAC